AUUGAACGCUGGCGGCAGGCUUAACACAUGCAAGUCGAGCGGGGGAAGGUAGCUUGCUACCGGACCUAGCGGCGGACGGGUGAGUAAUGCUUAGGAAUCUGCCUAUUAGUGGGGGACAACAUCUCGAAAGGGAUGCUAAUACCGCAUAACGUCUUCGGACCAAGGUGGGGGACCUUCGGGCCUCACACCAUCGGAUGUGCCCAGAUGGGAUUAGCUAGUAGGUGGGGUAAUGGCUCACCUAGGCGACGAUCCCUAGCUGGUCUGAGAGGAUGACCAGCCACACUGGAACUGAGACACGGUCCAGACUCCUACGGGAGGCAGCAGUGGGGAAUAUUGCACAAUGGGCGCAAGCCUGAUGCAGCCAUGCCGCGUGUAUGAAGAAGGCCUUCGGGUUGUAAAGUACUUUCAGCGGGGAGGAAGGCGAUGAGGUUAAUAACCGCAUCGAUUGACGUUACCCGCAGAAGAAGCACCGGCUAACUCCGUGCCAGCAGCCGCAGUAA
rnacentral:rRNA from 1 species